AACAAAAUUGGCGACUUGAAACUAAAUCAU
rnacentral:piRNA from 1 species